rnacentral:rRNA from 1 species
UACGAACCGUACAAACGUUAUUCGGAAUCACUGGGCUUAAAGGGUGCGUAGGCGGCCAUGUAAGUGAGGUGUGAAAUCCCUCGGCUCAACCGAGGAACUGCGCUUCAUACUGCAUGGCUUGAGGGAGACAGGGGUAAGCGGAACUGAUGGUGGAGCGGUGAAAUGCGUUGAUAUCAUCAGGAACACCGGUGGCGAAAGCGGCUUACUGGGUCUCUUCUGACGCUGAGGUACGAAAGCCAGGGGAGCGAACGGG